AUAAGGUGCGUGGUAACUAAGGUGCAGUUAAAAUUGGGGGGUAGUUGCGACACAGGCACCUCACAGCUGGCAGGCAGCGGAGCCUCCCAACGUGACAAAGUCAUUUAUUUGGGAGAUGGAAUCAGAGCAGCUCCCACCUCUAACAUGCUGUAGCUCUGGAGACGUAUAAAAAGAGGCGCUGAGAAGAGAGGGCAGAGAAGAAGAACGGAACGAGUGGAAGUUGGAGCUUUGCAGGGUAGAAAGAGGGAAUGAUGAAAGGAGAAUUCUGUACCUGUGGGAGGUCAAUAUCGACACAACCCGAACUCAGAAAAUGACUGGCCUGAGGAGCAAAGUAGUUGUUCAGGGAGCAGCCAGAUUGAGUACAUGGCAGCAGUGUAACAGUUAUACUGUUCCACGCCUGAAGGCUCUUGGUCACCGCCAUCGCUCCUCCAAUGAUCCCUGCCGAAGGUAUUGUUCUGUCACUAUGCUGCUGGCCAAAACUGGCAUCAACCAGCUGCGUGAAGGGAAAACCACAGUGCAGGAUGGUUUAUCUGAAAAUAGCA